rnacentral:misc_RNA from 1 species
CUUGGUCAUUUAGAGAGGGGUGACGCUCAGAUUGCCGUCGCCGUCCGCUUGACCACGACGAUCGUGAUGUCGUCGUACUGCGCGGUCCCACCGGCGUGCUGAAGGACGGCAUCGAGUACGGCCUGCUGGAUCUCCUGCGCGGAGCGUGUUCGAUGGCUCUUCACGACUUCGAUGAGAUUCUCCUCCCCGAAUUCCUCGUCCAAAGCAUUGACCGCCUCGCUGAUUCCGUCGGAAAAGACGACCAGCACGUCGUCCUUCUGCAUCGUCAGAAGAACCUGCUCAUAUGCGAAUUCCUCUACGAUCCCGAGCACGAUACCGCGCGCCUCCAAUCGACGGCAUGCAUCGCCGCUGAUGUAAAGAGGAGGAUUGUGACCGGCGUUGCAGAACUGAACGGCGCCCUCUUUCGGGUCGAGCACCGAGUAGAAGAACGUCACGAAUUUCUCCGCCGAUGU